rnacentral:rRNA from 1 species
UACGGGGGAGCAAGCGGUUGUUCGGAUUUACUGGGCGUAAAGGGCGCGUAGGAGCGGCCACCGCAAGUCGACUGUGAAAUCUCCGGGCUUAACCUCGGAAGGUCAGCCGAUACUGCGGGCUAGAGUGCAGGAAGGGGCAACUGGAAUUCUCGGUGUAGCGGUGAAAUGCGUAGAUAUCGAGAGGAACACCUGCGGCGAAGGCGGUGCUGGGCUGACACUGACGCUGAGGCGCGAAAGCUAGGGAG